UGGGGAAUAUUGCACAAUGGAGGGAACUCUGAUGCAGCGACGCCGCGUGAGUGAUGAAGGAAUUCGUUUCGUAAAACUCUGUUCUAUGGGAAGAAAAGGACUGUACCAUAGGAGAAAGCUCCGGCUAAAUACGUGCUAGCAGCCGCGGUAAUACGUAUGGAGCGAGCGUUUUCCGGAAUUAUUGGGCGUAAAGGGUGCGCAGGCGGCUUUACAAGUUGGAUGUGAAAUAUUGUGGCUCAACCACAAACGUGCAUCCAAAACUGCAAAGCUUGAGUUAAGGAGAGGUAAGUGGAAUUCCUGGGGUAGCGGUGGAAUGCGUAGAUAUCAGGAGGAAUACCGGUGGCGAAGGCGACUUACUGGACUUAAACUGACGCUCAGGCACGAAAGCGUGGGGAGCAAACAGG
rnacentral:rRNA from 1 species